rnacentral:tRNA from 1 species
GGUUGUGGCUCAGCGGUAGAGCGCUCGCCUAGCACUUGCAAGGCCCUGGGUUUGACCCUCAGCACCA